rnacentral:lncRNA from 1 species
UCAGUUGUCUUGCCUGUAAAAUGGAAAUGAAGGGGAUGGUUAGCACUCCCACUGGAUCAAAUAAGCUGCACCUCAUACAUAUGAGGAAACAGAGACCCGGAGAGAUACAGUCCUUGGCCAGUCAGCCAAGUUGGAGCAUAGCUGGGACUUUGAACCCAGUCUCCCAGCUCCCAAUCUGCCUGCAGCCCUGUCCCUCUCCACCCCCAAGCCCUGACCAGAAUUCUCUUCUGUACAUCCAGAAGGGCUUUCCCAUUCCUCAGACUCUCUGAGGCAAUUACAGUCCCUACC